GAGAGAGAGAGAAAGAGAGAGAGAGAGAGAAAGAGAGAAAGAAAGAAAGAAAGAAAGAAAAGAAAGAAACCUAGUUAACCUGAAGUUCUGACCAUAGGAUUGGCCAAAUGUAUAAUAGGUCAAGAGAAUGCUGGAUUUCUGUUACAAGGGAUGCUUGAAAUAUAUAUUAGCUCAUACGUGAAGAGGGCAGGAUGUAAUAGGCUAAAAGUAAAGCCCAUGAAGUAGAAGGUACAGUACAAUACCACGUUGGUAUUCUCCAUAUGUAUCCAUUUUAAAAAGAAGAAUAGAAAGCAUCACAACCAACAUUUAAAUAGAGAUGAUCUCUCAGUGAUAUUAUUGGUAAUUACUUUUCCUUUGAGGUUUCCCUGUUUUCCAACUUAUUUCCUUGAAAAGAUAAAGAUUUAACUUCUUUCUUUUAGUGGUUUUUAAUCACUGUAGUUCUAGCAAUCUUGACCUAUAUCCAUAUCUGUGUCUGUACUUCUCUCCAGAGUUGCUGUAUAGAGCACUGCUCCAGCACCCAGUUUAGAAGGGGUGAAGUGGGAUCUGGAAUCAAUCCCUUCUUUGAUCUGCUUCUUAAGUCAUCCCUGACAUGGGUCAGUGUCUGCCCAGAGGAAAGGGAACUCUUUUCCAAUUUUCCCUGAAGGAAUGUCUUGUUCUAAUCCACAGAAUGAUACUGGAUUUGCUCACAGCAACCCUGCUUGUCUAUGUGUGUAUGUAUGUGUAUAUAAGGGGACUUUAAAAAAUUCAUAGGAAGAUGGAGUUAAAAGUUAAAAAAUAAAGUUUAUUCCCCAAUACAGGCUCCCUCAAGGUCAAGAUACGUUUGUAAGCAGUAAUACCAACCGUUCAGUCUAUUCCUAAAGAACUGAGGGUCCUGGGAAUUUAACCAUGUCAAUGCCAUCUUUUUUACAUUAACUAAAGAAAAAAGAGGGCCCUUUCCAGAUUUUAAGACUAGGAAGUGAAAAGAAGUCAGAAGGAGCCAAAUCAGGACUGUUAGGUGGAUGCCUAAUGAUUUCCCACUGAAACCCUUGAAAAAUUGCCCUUGCUUGACGAGAGGAAUGAGCAGGAGCAUGGUUGUGGUGGAGAAGGGCUCUCUGGUGAAGCUUUCCUGGAUGUAUUUCUAUUAAAGCUUUGGCUAAUUUUCUCAUAACACUGCCAUAUUAAGCAGACAUUAUGGUUCUUUGGCCCCCUAGAACAUCAGCAAGCAAAAUGCCUGGAGCACCCCAAAACACCGUCACCAUGACUUUUGCUGUUGACCAGUCUGCAUUUGCUCUGACUGAACCCCUUCCACCUCUUGGUAGCCAUUGCUUUGAUUGUGCCUUGUCUUCAGGAUCAUACUGGUAAAACCAUGUUGCUCCUUAUUUCAAUUCUUAGAAGAAAUCCUUCAGGAUCUUGAUCCCACUUGUUUAAAAUUUCCACUGAAAUCUCUGCUCUUGCCUGCAGCCUAUUUGGGCACAACAGUUUUGGCACCUAUCAAGUAAAAGCCUUGUUCAACUUUAUUUUUUCAGUCAGAAUUGUGUGAGCUGAACCAGUUGAGAUGUCUGUGGCAUUGGCUAUUGUUUGUGCUGUUAAUUAUCAGUCCUUUUCAAUUAGAGCACAAACAAGAUGAAUUUUUUUGGCAAAUUAAUAUAGCUGGUUUAUUGCUGUGGGCUUCAUAUUCAACAUCACCUCAUUCCUUCUUGAAAUGAGUUACCCAUGUGUAAACUGACUGGGAGGUGGGCAUUGUCCCCAUCAACUUUUCAUAAAGCAUCAAUGAUUUCACCAUUCUUCUACUAAAACUUUGUCAUAAAUUUGAUGUUCCUGUUUCAAUUUUAGCAGAAUUCAUGUUGCUCUGAUAGAGAUUCUUUACAAACUGAUAUCUUAUCUUUCUUAGUACCUCAAACUAGAUCCUGUUCAGACAUGUUGUAACAAGUUAGUACAAGUUGAUUUUGGUGCAAAAUCUUUUUUAAAUCCAUACAUGGUUUUUUCAUAAUAAACAUUUUCCAUUAACUUUUUGAAGAUCCCUCAUAUGUAUUUUUCCCGUUAGUCAUUUUGGCCAUCUCAUAAUCACCAUAUUGUAUUAUAAAGAGUAACUAUUUCUCAGUCUACAUGUAUCAGGAUUCUUUAUACUCAGGUCUAGAUUUUAGAACUGGCUUUCUGUAGGGGUAGGUAAAGUUCAAGGAUUUUGUAGAAGAAUGAGCUUCUUUGGACCUUUCUACUAUCCUGUUAUGUGCCUAAAUCCAUAUUUCCUAGGGAUGGGGAUGGGCUGGGAGAGAAGCAAGAAUAUUUGAUGUUGAAAGGUCAGUAAUAGACAUUGACCAAUGGAAAACCCAAGUAACGCUGUGGUGCCAAUAGGAUGCAGGGAGCCUUCAUUGUUCUAGGAGGUGAUGAUAGUGUUACCAGUAAUGUAAAAUAAAGGGACACUGUGACCAUGUGGCUAUACUCUGGGGUGAAAGAUGGUGUCAUCCUCUUUUCAAUCUGUAUCCCUUUGUUGUUUGCGGGGAAACUGGUAUAGCUUUACAGAGACAACUGCCUGUAAGCCGGAAACACCUGGUAAAUAAAAAGUGAUAGAACCAAAUGGCUCCCACGGUUCUUGCCUCAAGUCAGAGAAAAGCUGUGAUGAGUCAAAAAAUACUCCAGGUGCAAGAGCCCAGUGCCUUGAUGCACAUGUGAAAGGCAGGCACCUUCCAGAAAUAGCAUCCCUGACCCCAGAGACUUGGAUGGCCUUGUUUUAAUUUCAGAGUUAGAAUAAUGACCAUUUUAUGAACAACCAAAUAGUUAUUCUGGGUUCUCCUCUCAAGAGUGUGGUCUGAGACCUUGGCUUGUAUAGUCUAAGUAUGUAAUAACUGAGUGUGUUUCCCAUGAUCCUGUGACAGCCUUCACUUUGAGUUCUAUUUCAGAACACCCUCUUUCUGGGGGCACCUAAACAUAGGCCCUAGUGAAAUGGAAUUUAGAAGCAGCAUUAUCUGCAGGGCAGUCUGGGGCCAAGCUGGCCAACUCCUCACUCUCAGUUCAAUGGAAAGCAACAGGAAGUUGCCCCUACAUUUGGGGGAUGGUAAAAGGAGCUACCAUUUGGUAAGCUGAGUGAGUGUCCCAGGGCAACUUAUUAACUGGAAUUCUCUGAGAAACCAGUUAAAGUGGAGUGUUAGGUGGUGACUUGGAGUUGAGAAAGGAGCACUAAACUGGAAUUCACAGCAGCUCCUGCGUAACCACAUGUGCGUCGUUGUCCUGGAUACUGUCAUCUCUAGUUCAUGGCUAGGAUUCUUCCUGCUGUUAAACCCCAUGCAUGGUUUUAUGCACAAGAACCACUAGCUCAGGAUGCCUUACAGAAAAGUUUUUUGCAAGAGGAAAAGCCUUCAAAACAGGAAGAAGUGUUGGUUGUCCUCUCUCUCUCUCAUAAAUGCCUCCAUUUAUUACUGAUAAUGGCAUUUUAAAAAUGUUAAUGAUGAGAUUGUUUUCACCUCAUAGGAUGACUUCCAAAACUAAAUACAGAGCAACCAGGAAUAUCAGAAUGAAUGAUCCCUCGAACAUCGGUUAACUAUGGAAGCGAAACCCUUCUGAAUAUUGACAGGAUAGGGCAGCCUCCAUAAUCCACCUACAUUCCUUGACUCAAGGCCCCUUCCUCUGUCUUCAAAGCAGCAGUGAAGCAUCUUCAAGCCUCUCUCUCUGCUGUGUCAUCACAUCCCCUUUCUCCUCCCAGGCCAAGUGUGGAACUCUGUUGGAUGGCACUAGACAGAAAUCACAUCCCUCCUACAGGAUCUCUACAAAGCAUGUGUUCCUGGAGCAACUAUAUGAGGAAGAUGGCAAAGGCCUAGAAAAUUUGGUCCCGUAUGAGGAAGAUGGAGAAAGCCUAGAAAAUGUGGUCCCUGUUGCCUUUGAGACUUACACAUCAUCCUGAAACCCAGCACUCUGACUGUUUAUCAAGAUCAACUGUGCUUGAUCAACUCAAGAUCAAAUUAAGUCUAAUUUUAAAUGGGAAGAAAGGUAGCACUCUUCUUAUAUUCUUACUGGAGAAGCUAUCCUUCUUGGUUCUGUUCCAUUUUGCACAUGGAGUAGGGUUUUAAAUAGCCAGAUCCAAGGCUGGAUUUGAAAGCUGAUGAACAGAGCUAUGAAGAGCUUUGUGAUGAAAAGGGUUAUUAUUGGCCUCCCAUCCAUUGGCUUAUCUUUUUUUAUUCUUUAAGUAAUAUGACAAAUGAGGGAUAUGAUAGGAUUGUCUUUGGUGUAGUUUCAUGAGUUGACAUAAUUAAGAGCCAUUUCCAAUUGGCAAUGCUGCAAGAAAAAAAACUUGCAGUCAGACAAACAAGGAAAUUACUUAAUUAGCAACUCAGGUGAGCGCUGGCUUUUGAGAAAGAUGUUAAGGUUGGAGGAAAGACAGGAGACCCACAGAGGCAGCAUGUCACAGUUGGGUGUUUAGCCAAAGACAUGUUCUUCUGUCCCUUUCCUCCUGCAUGAGUCUUUUCUGACUGUUCACCUGAAAUUGGAUAUGGAAGAGCUCUGCUGCCACUGCUGCCAGCCUGGUAGACAGAAAACGUCAAUGUUACAGAAAAAUGAUUGUGUGUUUGGUUCCCUCCAGUUUUCAUGAAAUAAACAUCACCUGGCAAUUCCUUGGA